GUCCUACUCCCUCUGUCCGGAGUUACUUGUCGUAUAAAUGUAUAAAAAUGGAUGUAUCUAGAACUAAAAUAAAUCUAGAUACGUUCAUUCAUGUGACAAGUAUUUUCGGACGGAGGGGGUAUAAU
rfam:Hordeum vulgare subsp. vulgare, WGS project CAJW01000000 data, contig: morex_contig_40140